rnacentral:rRNA from 1 species
UGGGGAAUUUUGGACAAUGGGGGAAACCCUGAUCCAGCCAUCCCGCGUGUGCGAUGAAGGCCUUCGGGUUGUAAAGCACUUUUGGCAGGAAAGAAACGUCAUGGGUUAAUACCCCGUGAAACUGACGGUACCUGCAGAAUAAGCACCGGCUAACUACGUGCCAGCAGCCGCGGUAAUACGUAGGGUGCAAGCGUUAAUCGGAAUUACUGGGCGUAAAGCGUGCGCAGGCGGUUCGGAAAGAAAGAUGUGAAAUCCCAGAGCUCAACUUUGGAACUGCAUUUUUAACUACCGGGAUAGAGUGUGUCAGAGGGAGGUGGAAUUCCGCGUGUAGCAGUGAGAUGCGUAGAUAUGCGGAGGAACACCGAUGGCGAAGGCAGCCUCCUGGGAUAACACUGACGCUCAUGCACGAAAGCGUGGGGAGCAAACAGG